rnacentral:tRNA from 1 species
GGGCUAUUAGCUCAAUGGUAGAGCAGAUCCCUCUUAAGGAUAAGGUUGUAGGUUCGAGUCCUACAUAGCCCA